rnacentral:rRNA from 1 species
UACAGAGACUGCGAGCGUUAAUCGGAAUUACUGGGCGUAAAGCGUGCGUAGGCGGUUCGUUAUGUCUGCUGUGAAAGCCCCGGGCUUAACUUGGGAAUGGCAGUGGAAACUGGCGGGCUUGAGUGUGGCAGAGGGGGGUGGAAUUCCGCGUGUAGCAGUGAAAUGCGUAGAGAUGCGGAGGAACACCGAUGGCGAAGGCAGCCCCCUGGGCUGACACUGACGCUGAGGCACGAAAGCGUGGGGAGCAAACAGG